rnacentral:rRNA from 1 species
CUACGGGGUGCAGCAGUGAGGAAUAUUGCACAAUGGGGGGAACCCUGAUGCAGCAACGCCGCGUGGAGGAUGACGCACUUCGGUGUGUAAACUCCUUUUAUAUGUCAAGAAAAUGACGGUAGCAUAUGAAUAAGCACCGGCUAACUCCGUGCCAGCAGCCGCGGUAAUACGGAGGGUGCAAGCGUUACUCGGAAUCACUGGGCGUAAAGGACGCGUAGGCGGGUUGGAAAGUCAGGUGUGAAAUCCUACAGCUUAACUGUAGAACUGCACUUGGAACUUCUAAUCUAGAGUAUGGGAGGGGGAGAUGGAAUUAGUGGUGUAGGGGUAAAAUCCGUAGAUAUCACUAGGAAUACCUAAAGCGAAGGCGAUCUCCUGGAACAUUACUGACGCUAAGGCGUGAAAGCGUGGGGAGCAAACAGGAUUAGAUACCCUUGUAGUC